GAUUAACGCUGGCGGCGUGCAUAACGCAUGCAAGUCGAACGAUGAAACUUAACUGAUUUCUUCGGAAUGAUUUUAAGUGGAUUAGUGGCGGACGGGUGAUUAACGCGUGAGUAACCUGCCUUGGAGAAGGGGAUAGCCUUUGGAAACGAAGAAUAAUACCCUAUGAUAUGAUAAUAUCUCAUGAUAUUAUCAUCAAAGAUUUAUCGCUCUAAGAUGGACUUGCGUCUGAUUAGUUAGUUGGUGAGGUAACAGCUCACCAAGGCAGCGAUCAGUAGCCGGCUUGAGAGAGUGUACGGCCACAUUGGGACUGAGACACGGCCCAGACUCCUACGGGAGGCAGCAGUGGGGAAUUUUGCACAAUGGGGGAAACCCUGAUGCAGCGACGCCGCGUGAUUUAGAAGGCCUUCGGGUUGUAAAAAUCUUUUGUAUGGGAAGAAAAUGACAGUACCAUACGAAUAAGGACCGGCUAAUUACGUG
rnacentral:rRNA from 1 species